rnacentral:pre_miRNA from 1 species
UCUCGAAUAGCGUUGUGACUGAGGUAACUGCGCAUCGAAUCUACUCAGCGGCGAGGCUAUUCCAGUAA